rnacentral:lncRNA from 1 species
AGUAACGGCGGACGCUGUUGAUUUGAUGGCUCCUGAGACGUCUGCUAGAAUGGCAUUUCGGCUGUCAGCGGAGAGCUGCACGUUCCGUUGGAGGUGUGUGGCGCCGUUGUGAAGCGGGAACUCGACUUCUGGCAGAUCAACGAGUACGAGAUCCGGGCAUGCUGCUGGCGGCAUUACAGGUCGUACAUCGAGAACCAACGAAUCCUCGACUCGUUCAACAAGAGUCUCUACAGGGAGGCCAUGUCCGUCAACCUGGACGGACUGACGGGCUGGAGCUACUGGCAGAUGAAGAUCUGGCUCAUCCUAGAGUACCCGAGAACCUCGCGCUCCGCAAUGAUGAAGAAUGUCAUUAUCAGCUCAUUGAUAAUCAUGUUUCCGUUGGCCUUCCAUCCAAGGCCGCAGCACAGCUUAACACUGUCACGUUUACCGUCUCCGGUGGAGCUUUGUGAAAUAGGCUACUGCACGAAAAUCUGUCCUAAUUUGUCAUCUUGAAGACACUGCUGUGGAAAAUUCUGCGUGGUAUGGUGAGGAUACGCACACGCGAACUUCAGAUUUGAUCAAUGUCUAAUAGCCAAGUGGGCAAGUGUGUUCCGUUUUUAUCAUUUUAAGGAUUAAUAAUCAAUGUUAAUCGGGGAAAUAAAGCGCGUUUGCAUUAAACAACAACAAAAAAUAAAACCUACCACGCCAUAGCCAGCGAACAAGGGGGCGAUUUUACGAACUAUACUAUAUAGUGCAAAGUCAUUCUCUAUUAAUAUAAUGGGGGUGGGGGUGUUAAAGAAAUAAAAGGAAACCAGCGAAGAAACAAAUUGAAAACCGAUUUUUCAUCAGUAUGUUCUGAUACUGAACAUAAAAUUAUGUAAAUUCUUAAUGUCAUAAAAGUUAGUUCACGGUUACUAUGGUAACAUGUGGAAAAUGCAAAAAAUGACCAAAACUAGAUGUCUUUCUGUUUCAUGAUGCCGACCGUGUAUAAAGCCAAUGAAUCGGAUAUUUUCCAAAGUACGAUUUCGGACAACAAUCCGGGUGCAUGUUUAUAGGUAAUGAAACACACGUUCUAACCACGUGUCUGCCACGGUUGUACCCUAAAUAUCAAAGACUAUGAAUAAAAAGUAAACACUACAUAAAGCAGAAAAGUGUCUAUACGUCAAAUUGCAAAACAAAAGGAUAGCCCGGAGAAAAAUCGAUGUAAAACCCAUUUACGUGAAAACAAAAGAGCCAGUAUUCUGACCGACGAUACAUGAAUUCACAAUAGACUGGUCUGGCCUUUCGGGAUUAAUUUAUUUGAAAGAAAAUUAAGAUAUGAAAAAAGCUGACACAUUGCACUAAUAAGUGCCAUUAAUAUUAUUCUGUGAAUAUCCAAUAAAUCAGCAGCAUAUAAAGCACUAAUAAUAGCUUCACUCCAUGAUAUAACUGUUAAAUGCAAGUUAAAAUCACACACAGAUACACACACACACACACACACACACAUGCACACGCAUACACAUGCACACACACAUAUAUAAACACACAUACACACACACACAUACACACACAAACAUACAUACAUACAUACAUACAUACAUACAUAUAUAAGUUGUAUUCCCCUAUGCCUAUUCCUAUCAAUGUGUUGAUAUUAAUUUACGGAAUAAUUAAACACAGAGAGUAGUUCCCCUUGCUGGUUGUUACACGGUCUAUGUAAAUGACCGGCCUCGGUGGUUAAGCCAUAAGACUGGUAGGAACAGGGUUCGCAGCCCGGUACCGGCUCCCACCCAGAGCGAGAUUUAAUGACUCAAUGUGUAGGUGUAAGA